rnacentral:rRNA from 1 species
AGUCGAGGGGUAACAGGGAAGAGCUUGCUCUUUCGCUGACGACCGGCGCACGGGUGCGUAACGCGUAUACAACCUACCUUUUGGAGGGGAAUAGCCCAGGGAAACUUGGAUUAAUGCCCCAUAGUAUGGGAAUAUCUCCUGAUAUUUUCAUUAAACAUUUAUGGCCAUUAGAUGGGUAUGCGUCCUAUUAGUUAGUUGGUAAGGUAACGGCUUACCAAGGCAGCGAUAGGUAGGGGUCCUGAGAGGGAGAUCCCCCACACUGGUACUGAGACACGGACCAGACUCCUACGGGAGGCAGCAGUGAGGAAUAUUGGACAAUGGGCGAGAGCCUGAUCCAGCCAUGCCGCGUGCAGGAAGACUGCCCUAUGGGUUGUAAACUGCUUUUACAGAGGAAGAACCACUCCCACGUGUGGGAGUUUGACGGUACUCUGCGAAUAAGGAUCGGCUAACUCCGUGCCAGCAGCCGCGGUAAUACGGAGGAUCCAAGCGUUAUCCGGAAUCAUUGGGUUUAAAGGGUCCGUAGGCGGGCAGUUAAGUCAGUGGUGAAAGUCUUCCGCUCAACGGGAGAACUGCCAUUGAUACUGAUUGUCUUGAGUUAUUAUGAAGUGGUUAGAAUGAGUAGUGUAGCGGUGAAAUGCAUAGAUAUUACUCAGAAUACCGAUUGCGAAGGCAGAUCACUAAUAAUAUACUGACGCUGAUGGACGAAAGCGUAGGUAGCGAACAGGAUUAGAUACCCUGGUAGUCUACGCCGUAAACGAUGGUUACUAGCUGUUCGGCCCGAUUAAGGGCUGAGUGGUUAAGCGAAAGUGAUAAGUAACCCACCUGGGGAGUACGUUCGCAAGAAUGAAACUCAAAGGAAUUGACGGGGGCCCGCACAAGCGGUGGAGCAUGUGGUUUAAUUCGAUGAUACGCGAGGAACCUUACCAGGGCUUAAAUGUAGUCUGACAGGGCUGGAAACAGCUUUUUCUUCGGACAGAUUACAAGGUGCUGCAUGGUUGUCGUCAGCUCGUGCCGUGAGGUGUCAGGUUAAGUCCUAUAACGAGCGCAACCCCUGUGGUUAGUUGCCAGCGAGUAAUGUCGGGAACUCUAGCCAGACUGCCGGUGCAAACCGUGAGGAAGGUGGGGAUGACGUCAAAUCAUCACGGCCCUUACGUCCUGGGCCACACACGUGCUACAAUGGUAGGGACAGAGAGCAGCCACUUCGCGAGAAGGAGCGAAUCUACAAACCCUAUCACAGUUCGGAUCGCAGUCUGCAACUCGACUGCGUGAAGCUGGAAUCGCUAGUAAUCGCAUAUCAGCCAUGAUGCGGUGAAUACGUUCCCGGGCCUUGUACACACCGCCCGUCAAGCCAUGGAAGCCGGGGGUACCUGAAGUCGGUCACCG